CAUGAUGGUUUAAAUGACAAGACUGCAGGGCUCAAAGAUUCCCACCUGCCCUUGCUGUCACCACACCUCGUUUGAGAUUCCUAGUUCUCCAACGUCUGGCUUCCAACAUCCACAGAAAAAUUAACAAGAGGAAGGUUUAAGAGCUCUUCAAACAGGAUUGACUUAUGGGAUUAUGAAGACUGAGAAUUCCCAUGAUCUGUUGUCUGCAUGCUGGAGCCCCAAGAAAGCCAGUGGUAUAGUUCUCCUCCAAACAUGGAGGCCUGAGAACCAUGGAAGACAAUGGUGUAAGUCCCACUCUGAGUUUGAAGUUUCAAGCAUCUGAGCACCA